rnacentral:rRNA from 1 species
UACGUAGGGGGCAAGCGUUGUCCGGAUUUAUUGGGCGUAAAGAGCGUGUAGGCGGCCAAGCAGGUCCGCUGUGAAAACUCGAGGCUCAACCUCGAGACGUCGGUGGAAACCGUUUGGCUAGAGUCCGGAAGAGGAGAGUGGAAUUCCCGGUGUAGCGGUGAAAUGCGCAGAUAUCGGGAAGAACACCCGUGGCGAAGGCGGCUCUCUGGGACGGUACUGACGCUGAGACGCGAAAGCAUGGGGAGCGAACGGG